AUUGAACGCUGGCGGCAGGCCUAACACAUGCAAGUCGAGCGGAUGAGAAGAGCUUGCUCUUCGAUUCAGCGGCGGACGGGUGAGUAAUGCCUAGGAAUCUGCCUGGUAGUGGGGGACAACGUUUCGAAAGGGACGCUAAUACCGCAUACGUCCUACGGGAGAAAGCAGGGGACCUUCGGGCCUUGCGCUAUCAGAUGAGCCUAGGUCGGAUUAGCUUGUUGGUGAGGUAAUGGCUCACCAAGGCGACGAUCCGUAACUGGUCUGAGAGGAUGGGCAGUCACACUGGAACUGAGACACGGUCCAGACUCCUACGGGAGGCAGCAGUGGGGAAUAUUGGACAAUGGGCGAAAGCCUGAUCCAGCCAUGCCGCGUGUGUGAAGAAGGUCUUCGGAUUGUAAAGCACUUUAAGUUGGGAGGAAGGGCAGCUAGCGAAUACCUGGUUGUCUUGACGUUACCGACAGAAUAAGCACCGGCUAACUCUGUGCCAGCCGCCGCGGUAA
rnacentral:rRNA from 1 species